rnacentral:rRNA from 1 species
CAGCAGCCGCGGUAAUACAGAGGGUGCAAGCGUUAAUCGGAAUUACUGGGCGUAAAGCGCGCGUAGGUGGUUUGUUAAGUUGGAUGUGAAAUCCCCGGGCUCAACCUGGGAACUGCAUCCAAAACUGGCAAGCUAGAGUAUGGUAGAGGGUGGUGGAAUUUCCUGUGUAGCGGUGAAAUGCGUAGAUAUAGGAAGGAACACCAGUGGCGAAGGCGACCACCUGGACUGAUAAUGACACUGAGGUGCGAAAGCGUGGGGAGCAAACAGGAUUAGAUACCCCAGUAGUCCCUGUCUCUUAUAC